UACGUAGGUGGCAAGCGUUGUCCGGAAUUAUUGGGCGUAAAGCGCGCGCAGGCGGCCUCUUAAGUCUGAUGUGAAAGCCCCCGGCUCAACCGGGGAGGGCCAUUGGAAACUGGGAGGCUUGAGUAUAGGAGAGAAGAGUGGAAUUCCACGUGUAGCGGUGAAAUGCGUAGAGAUGUGGAGGAACACCAGUGGCGAAGGCGACUCUUUGGCCUAUAACUGACACUGAGGCGCGAAAGCGUGGGGAGCAAACAGG
rnacentral:rRNA from 1 species